GCCCAGCCUCCGCCCAGCCUGCAGCCCGCUGAUGAGCCCGGCCGCCCGCUCCCUCUGGGGGCUCCCCCGGCCCCUCUGCAGGAGCCGCCGCCUCCAGGAAGGACUUCACCGAGCCAGGGCCGGAGCCCGGUGAGGCGACCGGAUCGGGACUGGUUCCGUGACCCCUGAGCUUGACAACAGUCCUGAGCGUUUAGACGGAGAAACUCAAAAGCACCGGGCCGCGGCGUCCACUAACUGGGAGGUCUCUGCACUCCGCGGGAAGAGCAGAGCAUUUACACGGAAGUGAGUACGUGGGAGGCAGACACACGAUCUUAGGGUUUCCAGUCCAGAGUCCCAGCAGCGGCCACAGAAUGUCCUCCUUUUGUGCCCUCAGGGGCCCUCUCCAACCGCUUCACCAACGCACACACCACAGGCCCCAAAGCUGUGAUUAAAGCUCAUUGGCAAGACGUCAGACAGAA